AUGAUCAUAGAUUAUGCUCAUUUUGGUGAUGUUAUGACCUUUGACACUACUUUUGGGACAAAUAAAGAGUACAGGCCAUUUGGUGUGUUUGUUGGAUUCAAUCAAUUCAGAGAAACAGUAGUAUUUGGUGCUUCACUUCUCUAUGACGAGACAUUCGAAUCUUUCAAAUGGCUAUUUCAUGCCUUCUUGUCGAUACAUAACCAGAAGCAGCCACGCACCAUAUUUACUGACCAAGAUAGUGCUAUGGGGAAGGCAAUUGGGCAUGUUUUUUCAGAAUCAAUACAUGGGCUGUGCACUUUGCACAUUAUGCAAAAUGCUAUCAAGCACCUACCCAGCAAAGAGAAUAGUGAAGACAACGAAGACGAUGCGGAUGAGGGAGAUAAUGAGGAAAAUGAAUCAUCUCUUCUCAAAGAUUUCAGUGCUUGUAUGUUUGAAUACGAAGACCGAGAAACAUUUGAAGAUGCUUUUAAUGUUAUGAGAAGCAAGGUGAAAAAGCAAACUUGGAUGGAUAGUAUUUAUAAGGUAAAGGAGAAGUGGGCAGAAUGUUUUAUGAGAGAUGCUUUCACUUUGGGAAUGCGAAGCACACAACUGAGUGAAAGUUUGAACAAUGACCUCAAGAAUCAUCUCAAGUCAGAUUUAGAUAUCAACCGCUUUUUCAUCAUUUUGAAAGAGCCAUGA
rnacentral:rRNA from 1 species